rnacentral:tRNA from 1 species
GCGGGCAUAGCUCAGUUGUAGAGCACAUGCUUAGCAUGCACAUGGCCCUGGGUUCAAUCUCCAGUACCUCCA